CUCACUAGUUCAGCUCUCCUCCCUGAGGUAACUCAGGGAUCUAGGCUGCUUCCAUCUUGUGCUUCCACCAUCUCACUAAUUGGGAAGAGAGGAGCCACACCAACCUUUAAGUGCACUGGACCAGAAGUAACCCAUUACUUACACUUACAUUCCUAUUUGUCAGGACUCUAUCUUGAGGCCCUACCUAAUACAGCUGCAAGGGAGGCUGGGAAAUGUAGAGAGCACAUGAAUAUUCAGCAAGCCACAGCCAAUGAAUUAGGUGAAGUAGGGCCAGGCAUCACAGGAAGGUCACUAUAUUUGCAGGGUUGGAGAAUCAGAGACAACCUCCUCAAUUCCAAUGGUGUCAAUUCAACUGGCUAAGGCAAUAGAAAAGGCAUUAAAAAUGAGUCCUUGGCUGGUCACGGGAGAUGGCCUUCUUGCCACUUCUAAGUUCCAUUGUACGUACUCAACAAUAAGAAGAGACCCAGAAGGAUCUGACCACUUAUCUACACCAGAAAGCUUUAAAACUUAAUUCUGGAGGAUACCUCAGUCUCUUCAUCUGUAAAAUAAUGAUAUUAAUUCUCAUGUCCUUCAAAAGAAUGAAUCGAUAAGUUAUUUAAUGUCUACAGUUGUGUUCUGGAGAUUAUCCAUGACUAUAAUAAAACACAAACACUGCUAAAUUAGAA
rnacentral:lncRNA from 1 species